AUAGCGUAUAUUAAAGUUGUUGCAGUUAAAAAGCUCGUAGUUGAACUUCAGACCUGGCUGGGCGGUCCGCCUAACGGCGUGUACUGUCUGGCUGGGCCUUACCUCUUGGUGAGCCGGCGUGCCCUUUAUUGGUGUGCGUCGGGGAACCAGGACUUUUACCUUGAGAAAAUUAGAGUGUUCAAAGCAGGCCUGUGCCCGAAUACAUUAGCAUGGAAUAAUAAAAUAGGACGUGCGGUUCUAUUUUGUUGGUUUCUAGAGUCGCCGUAAUGAUUAAUAGGGAUAGUUGGGGGCAUUAGUAUUCAGUUGCUAGAGGUGAAAUUCUUGGAUUUACUGAAGACUAACUACUG
rnacentral:rRNA from 1 species